AUGAGUAAAGAAGACAUGGUUUUCAUGGAUCUCUAUUCUUUUAAUUUGGCAAUUCUUGUUGCACAAUGGUGGAGGUUAAUUAUGGACCCGGAGUCUUUGUGUGCAGAAGUUCUAAAAGCAAAAUAUUUUCCUAAUGGCAGCUUGUUGCAAGCAACACCUAAGAAGAAGGGGGCGUCAUUUACAUGGCAAAUUGUCACGCCCAAUAUGCGACCCUAUCCAAAAGGAACUCGAAGGUCCCACCAAGGAUAG
rnacentral:rRNA from 1 species